GAUGAACGCUAGCGGGAGGCUUAACACAUGCAAGUCGAAGGGUAACAGCAGAGCUUGCUCUGGCUGACGACUGGCGAACGGGUGCGUAACACGUACGCAACUUGCCCUUAACUGAGGGAUAGCCCUGGGAAACUGGGAGUAAUACCUCAUAAUAUUAUUGGAAGGCAUCUUCUAAUAAUCAAAACUCCGGUGGUUAAGGAUAGGCGUGCGGCCCAUUAGCUUGUUGGUGAGGUAAAAGCUCACCAAGGCAACGAUGGGUAGGGGGCGUGAGAGCGUGAUCCCCCACACGGGCACUGAGACACGGGCCCGACUCCUACGGGAGGCAGCAGUGAGGAAUAUUGGACAAUGGAGGAAACUCUGAUCCAGCCAUCCCGCGUGCAGGAUGAAAGCCCUAUGGGUUGUAAACUGCUUUUUUAAGGGAAGAAACCUACCAAUUUAUUGGAAGCUGACGGUACCUUAAGAAUAAGCACCGGCUAACUCCG
rnacentral:rRNA from 1 species